UCAAAGGUGUGGUGAGGGCCACGCCCCCUUGCUGGAUCCCCUGGUAACUGAUGAGCCAACCUGAUGUCAAUUCCCCCUAUAACUGGUAACCUCCCCCUUCCUUUGGAGCAAAGCCUGCUGCCAUGUCCCGUCCAGCCAUUCACCACACCCAGUGGGGUGUCAUCCCAGGACCUUGCUUCAGAAAUCAAUAGUUUCUUCUAGGCACUGGAGAUGGAAGCUGGCUACCUGAGAUACUAGAGAAAUCACAAGCAACCAGAAGAUUUGCUCUGCAUAAGGUGACGGAACCAAAACAAUGAGGUCAAGUGAGUUACAGCAUGAUCAAUGAAGCAAAAAGCAGAACUCUCUCCUCUUAUGUUUAACCAAGAGCUCCAGAAAUAAUAAACUGUGAAUGAUUUAAAUUAAA